rnacentral:lncRNA from 1 species
CACCCUCCAUGAAUAUUAGUUAAAGAAGAAAUAUUUUAGUGGACUUUAAAAUUUUCGUAUCGAUUUGAACCUUGAGAAACCCAAAUUUCGAACUUCAAAAGUGUUUCUCUUUACUUAAAAUAUAACCACACACCCAAGUUACGAUUUUCAUAAAGAGUGCUACCUAAACAUCAUCGGGGUUUGAAAAGAAAACUUGUAAGACAGCGGAAGGAAAAUAAACUUGAUUUAAAUACCCCCGUUUAAUAGACUGGAUUCCUAAAUCAGAGUAAAAUAAAAAUCUCCAUUUUUACAUAAGACCCUUUUAUAGACGAAAGUGAAAACAUGGAUCUUUUACGGAAUCCGGGUAAGACGUGCAAGGCCUCAAGGUUCGUGAUUCCUCGAACUCCGCUCCGCUGCGCACUCUGAUUACUUCAAGAACCUGAAAGGGGAAAAUUCGCAUAAAGCGUGAGCCCAACCACUGGCUCAGUAAGAACUUUGGCCUGACGAUACUCACGCCUCUCUCAACGUGUCACUCACGUCCUAUAAGGGUCCUAAAGUCCUCGCCUCUAUGUCCUUUUGUGUAGGGAUAAUCCUAAAGCUCCUACUAUGUCCUCUAUAUUCAAUUUAUUCAUUUAGACCAAGACAUUCGAUCACAUAAGUGAAAGCACAUAACAUCACAUACGAAUACAGUACUUCUAUUCUUCAAAAUUAAGAACCACGAAGCAUGAAUAUUAUCAUAAAACAUAGUCGAACAUAUAGCUCUACAUAUAAACAUAUAAUACUGUUUACCUCAAUCUUGGUAUAUUGGACACACAGUCCUCUUUCAUAUUAUACGGAUAUAAAAUCCUCAUAUUACUUGCGGACAUAAAGUCCCUUUAGUAUCAAUUUAACACUUUACGCAUAUAAAUGCAAUGCAACAAGAUCCUUAUCAGAAUCCCAACGUGACAAUCUAAACAUCAGGUAAUAUACGACAACACACGGGUCACAAAGGCACAUUAUUACCCAUAAGUCAUAAAAGCACACUAUACCCACAUAAUUCACGUUAUUAUGCAAAAUAACCCAAAAGGCAUGUGAAUGCGAUGCAUGGAAAAAUAUUUUCACUUUAUCGGAUCCGCGGAAAAUUAAUUUAUGUACUCAAGCAAUAAACUAUAAAGCAUUUCGAGCCCGUUUCUAUUGUGGAACAAACCACUCCUUUUGAACUUUUAUUGGAUACCGGCCCACCGUAUCCGAUGUUUAUUCUGCCAAGUAUUUCGUUAAUUUUUCAAACUUUCAAGAGGAUACGUGAUAUACUUGAGACCUUAAUCAAUAGUUUAAAAACUCGUUUUCGUUUACCAUAAAAUCAUGAAAAAAAUCCGUUUCUCGUUUACCAUAAAAAUCGUGUAAAACAUAUUUUCGUUUUCCCUAAAAAUCGUAAAAAAACAAAUCCAUUUUCGGUUACCGGAUCCGUGAAAAAUUAAUUUCCAUACCUGGCCAAUAAACUGUUACGAGCCCAUUUCUUAAGUGGGAUCAAACCACUCUUUAACAAUAUUUGGAUACCGGCCCACCGUAUCCCGUUUAUUCACUCAAGCAUUCCAUUAAUUUUCCAAACUUUCAAAAAUAUGUGCUAUGCAUGGACAUGAAUGCUAAGACCAAAAUGCACAUGAAUGCAAUGUGUGUUAAAAUUCAAAUUUCAUUUUGUCGGGUCCGUGAAAGAUUAAUUUAUGUACCUGGAUAAUAAACCUAUUACGAGCCCGUUUUCACUAAGUGGAAUCAAACCACAACACAUCAUCCUAGUUGGAUACCGGCCCUCUAUAUCCGAGUUGUUUAUUACCCGGUAUUCCAUUAAUCUUCCAAUUUUCAAAACACGUGUUAUGCAUGGACAUGAACACUUAGACCAUAAUCCUAUUACCGUUUAAACACCACAAAUAAAACACAAAUAUGUCAAAAUAAAAUAACACAAAGAUUUACUAACCACAUAUUAUCACAUAGACUAAUUAAAUCACACAUAUGGUACAAAUACAUACACGUCUGUACACACACACGACAAUGAUAUCCAAUCAAGUGUGGCACAAUAAACACAAAUCACGUAAAGAUUAUUGUUCAUCCACACACACACAUAUAGCUGUAUACACCCCCACAUAAUUUAUAAUAGUAUAUUUUAUAUUUACGUAAACCAUGGAUCGGAGUUUUCACUCGACGACCACGUAGGUUGCUAUAGAGAUAGUAUACAUAUAUAAGCCGUGGAUCGGGAAUUAUUCCUACGACCACGCAGGCUAGGAUAUAUAAAUAUAUAGUCGUUUAUUUAACAUAUAUAUAAAGUAUGAAAUAUAGGAUAUACUAUAUAGCAUUAACGAGUUUAAUUGACCAAUAAUCCCACAAGUAAUCUCAACAAUCUUCAAUACUUACACACAUACGGCACACACUUAAUGAAUCUCAAACCAACAUACUAAAUCAAUCGAAACACACAUAAUGACUUAAAUGAAUAAUUCAUGACCAUAACUAUAAUUAAAUUCAACUUAUCAUAUUUUAUUAUCUUAAUAUAGUUUUAAUUCUUCUAUUAACUAAGGAUCAAGAAUUUAAAACCAUACUUCUAAACAUACUUUCUAGUUCAAAAUAGUUUAUUUUAGAAAAUCGGACAGUUUCGGUAUUUCGUCUUUGAAAAUUCAUAUCUCUUAGAAAAUACAUCCAAAACACCUGAACGUUUCACAAGAUGUUCACCUAUAAGUCUAUUCUACCUUGGUAAAACAGUUCAGCAAGAAACCUAACCGUUUAAGAGAAAUAAUUAAUUUAGUGCAGUGACACAGUCAAAUUUUCCAGAACAGAGCAAUCAACUUUAAAAUUACCAAAUAAUUCAUACCUUGACCCAAACACUGUGAAAUUUUGCAAAGAAGAAUUUUAAUAAGUCUUUAAUCAUAUCCAAGUAAAUCACAUAAAUAAAAUUAGUAUAAAGUCGUAUUAAACACAUAGUUCAUAAAUGACUCAAUAUAAGUCCUAUUUAUGCAUAAUUUAUAUCAAAAUGAAGCUAACCAAAAUAUCUAGUCUACUAUGAAAUUUCAUAAUUUUUUCUUAAGGAUUACCCGAUGAGACAUGCAAUACAAACAGAUGCUGCGAAACUGAAAUUCAAUUAGUGUUCAUCAAGAACUUUAUCUUCUAAAGCCCAAAAUUAAAACCACAAUCAUAUAAUUCAUUUAAACACAUAAAAUUGAUAUUAAUUAGGUUAUUAUUUCAGUAAAGACCAAGAGGUCCUUACCCAUGAAAAUCAAAGGCUAAGUAGGAGAAGAAACCAAGGAUCCAUGGAGUUUUGGCUUGGAAGUCUUUGGGCUUGACAUGG